rnacentral:rRNA from 1 species
GUCCACGCCGUAAACGAUGUCGACUAGCCGUUGGGAGCCUUGAGCUCUUAGUGGCGCAGCUAACGCAUUAAGUCGACCGCCUGGGGAGUACGGCCGCAAGGUUAAAACUCAAAUGAAUUGACGGGGCCCGCACAAGCGGUGGAGCAUGUGGUUUAAUUCGAAGCAACGCGAAGAACCUUACCAGGCCUUGACAUCCUAUGAACUUUCCAGAGAUGGAUUGGUGCCUUCGGGAGCAUAGAGACAGGUGCUGCAUGGCUGUCGU